UACGUAGGGUGCAAGCGUUGUCCGGAAUUAUUGGGCGUAAAGAGCUCGUAGGCGGUCUGUCGCGUCUGCUGUGAAAACUCAGGGCUUAACCCUGAGCUUGCAGUGGGUACGGGCAGACUAGAGUGCGGUAGGGGAGACUGGAAUUCCUGGUGUAGCGGUGAAAUGCGCAGAUAUCAGGAGGAACACCGGUGGCGAAGGCGGGGUCUCUGGGCCGUAACUGACGCUGAGGAGCGAAAGCAUGGGGGAGCGAACAGG
rnacentral:rRNA from 1 species